GCAGUUCACGCAGAGGAAGACAGGAAGAUCAAAUUACGGGCUUGGAAUAGAAGUGGAACAGGGACGGGCUGAGGAACUCGGCGCGCCUCCGGGCGAUCUCGGCGGCGCUUGGUCCGUCGUAAGGCAGCGGCACGUGGUCGAACGCCGGCAUUCUCGGCGCGGCCGCCGUGGCCGUCUGACCGCCGCGGCGAGCCUGGAUAAUCUCCUCACGGAGAGGAGGGGAGGUACGGAAGUAAUUCGGAGGCGAAGGGGAGGGGUUUAUAUGGUGGUGCAACGCCGAUCGAGCUGCCAAAAAAGAUUUGGAAAGCCAAUAUCUGUGCCCGUCCAAUGGAACAGUGUACACGUCGAUAGCUUUUGAAGAUUUUGAACUCAUCACAAAUCUCAUGUGUGAAAUCGUUAAGAUUUGCGAAGAAUAAUAGCCUGAAUUCAGAUUCAGAAGGUGCUAUUUUUUUUAGAAAAGGUUCA